rnacentral:lncRNA from 1 species
UCCAAAGCUGUGACAUCAUCGUGCAACUCGAUGCCCAAUGAAGUCAAGACCGACCUGUUGAGGUCCCAACUACCUCUCAUCUGAAUCAUAAAUAUUAAUUAGUUCACUUAUAUUGGGAUAAAAGCUUCAUAGAUAACCAACUAACAAUUUUCGAAUCCUUUUGCUGUCAAAACACUAUGGCGUGCAAGAAGCUUAUUGAGCAACAAAAACACAAACUAGAACAUUCAAGUGAGAGUAGUGAGAAUAUGGGAUUCUAUCAACCAUAUAACCGACCAACUCAUGAGCCUCCUUAUGACUUUGAUAGACAAAAAAAUGUAUUCAUCAUAUUUAAUUACAGAUUGUUCUACUAUUUUAAACAAACAUGCAAAUUGUAUUUUUGUUUGUUAAUAUUUCUAACUGCAAAGUAAUUAAUUCCAAAAGUAAGUCCAAUUAUGUUAUAAGAUCCUCUGUUAUUUACAAAGAAACAAAAAUUUAAUAGAUUUGUCAUUGAUUUCAUAGGGUUGUAAAGUUAACCAGUGCCACAAUAAUAUAUACAAAUCUAGAUAGAGCCAAAACUCGAAAACUUCUUGACGGGUAUGGAACACUAUCUUUCACUCUUAUUUAUCAACUAAUGAAUCAUGACGCAUGUUUAUUUUUUAGUCAUAUCAGUUAUAAUGGAGCCAUAUCUGAAUUAUUUACGUCUCCAAACUUCUUUAGAUUGCUAACUUUGAGCUUUUGGGUAAAACUUUUAGGAUUUCACUUUAACGACCAUAGCUAUAAUAGAUCUGUUACUAGAAAAUAUCCAAUGGUCAUGUGGUGAUUGUCGCAAACUAAGUACAAAGGAGACUAUCAAGUAUAUUUACUGCAACGGUUGCGGUUAUAUACAGAAAUUAUAACAUCCCAGUAAGCAUAUUCUACUAAUUUGAAUAUGAAAUUUCCUACUCCCUCUGAUCCAUUUUAAUUGUCACUGUACAAAGUUGUACUAAGUCAUCGACAAUUAAUAUGAAUCGAAGGGAGAAUUAUAUUUACUCUGCACUAUGAUAUGGAAAAGUUGCUGAACUCAUCUGAUGGAAAAUCUGAAGAAGCGCUAGAGGGUACAUAAUAAAUAUGUUGAAAGUAAGGCAAACCAUUUAUGUUAUUGAGAUAGAGAAAUAAUACUUCAAAUCAGUCGAUACAAUUAGGGCUAUCAGAUAUGUACUUUUGUGAGUUUCAUGUUCUUGGUAACCACUCUUUUUCCUACAUACUUUGAGUUGAAGACGACCAUGAGAAAAGCUCCAGUACUAAGGGCAUCGCCUAUAAUAGGUGCGAUUCUUUGCACAUCAAUUAAGACACAUGAACUAAUUUCGUCUAAAAAAUGUAACCUUUCUUGCUUUGUUUUAAUACACAUAUGAGUAAUAUAACUUGCAAAUAUGGUAACAACAAAUAAACAUAACAUACUUUUAUCCAACUACACAGGGGAAACAUACCUAUGAAGAAUAAGCCGAUGUGGAGGGAUGUAGGAAUGAUGCAAAGUUGUAGCACACAUUACAUAGGUGGAAGCCGAAAGCAGUAGCAACUAGGAAGCCCACAACUUGCCUUCGCGUUUGACUCCCUACAAAUGCAAAGAGAUCAAUCAGUUCUAAUGCAGAUUACCAUUUUCUGACACCGCUAUCAUGUAUAUACAUGUUAACAGGCGCAUAGAAGACAAUCAGCAUAACAAAGAUUGGCUUAUACAUAGUAGAUGGAUACAAUGGAUUUACCUUUUAAUAUACAAAACUUCAUAUAAUUACUACGGAUAUGUUCAAGAGACAAUAAUCAAAAUUGGACAAAAUAUCAAAUAAAAAAUAUAAGUCUCAUUCCCUAAAAAAAUGUAAUACACAUCAAUGACAAUUAACAUUACUCUAUAAUUUAUAUCCUAUAAAUGAUACUCAGUUACAUGAAUAACAUCAGAAUGUACGAGGUUAUCAUCUAAAUUGUAAUUUAACAAAAUAACUAAGUAACUCAACGUUACCUCUGAAUCACUUAACAUUUAUAGCAACUAAUAAAUUACAUAUAUACUGCUAGGAGAGAGGAUGGGGAUGGGAGAGUAGUAACAUAUUGAUAUACUUAUCCCUACCCCAAGGUAAAAUUUCUCGGACGUGUUGAUGGGUUCACCAGAAUAAAGAUAAUUAGCUUAAAAAA